rnacentral:rRNA from 1 species
GAUGAACGCUGGCGGCGUGCCUAAUACAUGCAAGUCGAGCGGUAAGGCCCUUUUCGAAGGGUACACGAGCGGCGGACGGCUGAGUAACACGUAGGAACGUACCCCAAACUGAGGCAUAAGCGUCGGAAACAACGUCUAAUACCGCAUGUGCUCUUCGGAGUAAAGCUACGGCGGUUUGGGAACGGCCUGCGCAUGAUUAGCUUGUUGGUGAGGUAAUAGCUCACCAAGGCGACGAUCAUUAGCUGGUCUGAGAGGAUGAUCAGCCAGACUGGGACUG